UCUUCACAUACAGAGUGUCUCAGAUUUGACAUCAUCCCUCUUCUGUGCCAGAAGGAACAAUUAGUCCUUCCAUAAAUAGAUCAAUAUUUGCUCAUGCUGUAGACUAUGGAAUCCAACCUGUAGUAUCCUUUCUGCAUGUUGGCACCAAGCCCACCUCAUGAAACCAGCAAUGGGCAUUUUUCUAAUUCUACUUUCAAAGGUCCCAUUAUGGGUAAUAGAAAAGAACAUGAAAAAGUCUAUACCUUUUUUUUUCUCCUGCCAUUUUCCAAAAGUUCAUCUUCAAAAGGCAGGAAAAUGAAGCCAACAGGCACUAGAAACAUCCUGCAUGGAAAUCAUUCAAGGCUCACAAGUUUAUUACGUAAAUGUUGUAGCUGCCAGGUAACCACAGGUCCCCUUCCUGGGAGGAUUCCUUGAGGCACCAGCAGAGCAGCUUCCAGAACACAAGUCGUUAAGGAGCACAAAAAUGUAUUUCAAAUAUCUUUCCUUCAACACACAGCUACAAAGCAUCUGCUAUAUCAAAG
rnacentral:lncRNA from 10 species